rnacentral:rRNA from 1 species
UACGUAGGGUGCAAGCGUUAAUCGGAAUUACUGGGCGUAAAGCGUGCGCAGGCGGUGAUGUAAGACAGAUGUGAAAUCCCCGGGCUCAACCUGGGAACUGCAUUGUGACUGCAUCGCUGGAGUACGGCAGAGGGGGAUGGAAUUCCGCGUGUAGCAGUGAAAUGCGUAGAUAUGCGGAGGAACACCGAUGGCGAAGGCAAUCCCCUGGGCCUGUACUGACGCUCAUGCACGAAGCGUGGGGAGCAAACAGG